AACGCACCUUGCACUCCUUGGUAUUCCGAGGAGUAUGCCUGUUUGAGUGUCAUGAAAUUAUCAACUUCGUAGUUUUCUAAUGAGACUAGUACAAAGCUGGUUCACGGCAGAGUCAAUCUCUUAACUAUUGAAGCUUGGACUUGGAAGUUGCUGGCUUGCUAGAGUCAACUCUUCUUAAAUACAUUAGCUACUUGUCCUGUGAGUUGGCUCAGAGUGUGAUAAGUUAUCUACACUUGGUGGCUGCUUACUAUUGGAUGUGGCUUCUAAUCGUCUUAAGACAAUACUUUAAGAUCUGACCUCAAAUCAGGUAGGACUACCCGCUGAACUUAA
rnacentral:misc_RNA from 1 species